CAGUUUAAAAAAAAAACUUUCCGUUGACAGAUAUUGAAAGAUGGGAGGAACUGUGACACUACAACUUAUUCUAGUCAUUGAUCCUUCUCAUAACAGAUGCAAUCCUGUCCACCUCCAUCAACGAGGCCUCACAAGAAAUGACGGAGAGCAGAAGGGAAGACCAAGAGAGAAAAGUGGAUCUCUACUGCUCGGAAAUCAUCCUACAACCAAUACAGCUCCAAGGGCCACAAACGCCAACAACUCCAGAGAGGACGAGGAGGAAACUGCGACACCAUCAGUGGAAGAGGAAAGUUCACCACUCUGUUCUAGUGUGUGUCAAACCUAAGGGAACGAAACCAAAGCUCAUUAUCCUUUUCCCAUCUGGCCUCUGUUUAUAUUUCCAUUUUAGCUGCCCAACACAGAAAUCGAGGUAUCAUCCUAUCCCAUCCAUGGCUGUGUUGCCAACUUUUCCUUCUUUCAUUUGCAAAUAAAAGCUCUCCCAUGCCUCCACCAUCACUGCCCUCGUCACCUGAGGCACCUCAUCACCUCGCCUUCCUGCUAGGCUCCCAGCCUCUGGUCUAGUUCCUUUUGACCUUCUCUACUCUCAUCUUUCAUAGAAAAAUCUGACAUCAACUCAUACACGCUACUCCACCAUGCAACUUCCCCGAUGGAUAAAGCCAAAGAUCCUUUGUGCAGCUCACGAGGCCCUUCACUAGCAUUCCCAAUUCUCUGCCAUCUAUUUUUUCACGCUUGGUUUCCCCAGCUAUCACGGGGCUCCACUGGGCUGGAAUGGUUGAUAUCUAGCACGGCAACCGAUAUCUGGUCGGGAAUUUCGGAAGGACUCAUUAAAUGAGCAGUAGACGUUCACGAUGGCCUGUCCAGCCUCGCCUCUCACCUGAACCGCCUUGCCUCAUGUCGUGUACUCAGCGGUAUCAGUAUUGCAAUAAAGCUUCCCAAACAUGCAUUACUCUGAGCUUUUAAACAGGUCACAGAUCAACUCAACCUGAGAUACCUUGGUUCUUUCUGCUUCUAAAUCUGAGAAAUUCCUCCUGAGGUGCUAAGUUGGGGAGUCCAGUGCUCCCUGGGUGAAUUCUCCCCAGGACUUCAUGUGUAGACCAGCGUGCUCCCUGUCUCUCUGUCCGCUGUGGUUCCAUCAGCCCCAACACGCCUGGGACCCUGUUGUGCUGUCCUGCUGAUCCACAGCAGGUCUGGCCCCUGACCCUAACUCUAACCCAGACCAUGACUUUCACCUUUGAGCCCCAAGAUGAGCAAGACUCCUGACACAAAACAGGAACCUACAUGUUCACAAAAUAAAGGAAAAAAUAAAUAAAACAAAGAUAUCAACCAUAAUAGCUAACACUAUGCCCUGCUUACCAUAUACUAGUCCAGAGCCAAAGGAUGGAACGAUAUAUAACUCAUUUA
ensembl:lincRNA